rnacentral:lncRNA from 1 species
GCGGGGUGGCUUUUGAUACUUAGGCUCUACCGCCUUGGGCUCUCCCGCCCUACCACACUCACGAGAUUAGUCUGUUCCGCGCCCUGGAGCAUGAUGGAAGCCUCCAAGACUAAGACCUCCUGCUACUCCUCACCACAUGGUCAAUCCUCUCUACAUGAGAAGAAAGGCCAUUGGAGCGUCAAGAAGACCCCCAAGACUGAGCUCCUACUUUUAUUCUAAAACAGUAAGAAUCUCACCAAGAGAUUCUACAUUUGAAACUACCAUAAGCAACCAUGAAAUCAUGUUUCAGUCUUUCCCAAUUCAC